AUACAAAGCAGAGUAAGAGUUUAAUCAGGGAGCUCUCAAUAUUCCCAACAAAAGUGUACAUUAAAAUCAACUUGUAAAGUCAAAAAAUACAAGCCCAGCACUUCAGAUUUGUACAUCUUGUAUCCACCACACUCAGCAGCAUUAAGUUCUCAAAUGAGAAAGACCCACAAAAAGUCUAAGGACUUAUAUUUUUGGCAGACUUUCCUCCUGAUUAUCAAGCAUUUUUCUUCAGUGAAGAAGCACUGGUCCAGUGGUCAGAAAUAACCAUUUUUAUUCUAUUGUUGUUGAAAGCUUAGGAUUGUGUUUAUAUUUGCAAUCGUGCAGUACUUCUGCUCUGUUCAUUUGCUUUAAAAAGUUUUAAAAAUGUGUGCUUCUUUUAUAGGGGCAGAAUUACCAGGGCAAGUAAUCUCCAUGGCAGCUUCUACUCUAGCGAACUUGGCCAUCUCCAUCACGGGAUAUGAGUCAGGCAGUGAAGAUCAGACCUCCACUCAGCCUGCAGAAACCACAGAAGAACCCUCUCCAACACUGUCCACUUCUUCAUCCUCCUCCCCUUCCUCACCUUCUUCCCCUUCACCUACCCUGGCCAGACAAAGGCCUGAGAUUGGAACAUUUCUGAGGAAGAAGAAAACCAGCGACAUCUACUUUGUGUCCCUCGUCUGGGCCAUCAUUGUUGUACAGAUCUGGUCGAACCUGUGGAUUGUGCAGUUGCUGCCUGUGCCGAUUGGAGUCUGGAUAAUCAAAAAGCUUGUUAUUCACUUUGGAGUUGUGGACUUCCUGGAGAAACGCUGCCAGGUAUGGUGGCAGGUCAUCGAAUGCUUCCUGAAGGAGCGGCAGGAGGCUUUAGCACCAUGGCCAAUCAUCGGGCUUGGGAAAUUCUUAUUAAAAGUUGACAGCAAGGUAUUGUAG
rnacentral:lncRNA from 1 species